rnacentral:rRNA from 1 species
UUGGCCCUACGGGAGGCAGCAGUGAGGAAUAUUGGUCAAUGGGCUUACGCCUGAACCAGCCAAGUCGCGUGAGGGAAGACUGCCCUAUGGGUUGUAAACCUCUUUUGUCAGGGAGCAACGCCGGCUACGUGUAGCCGGACUGAGAGUACCUGAAGAAAAAGCAUCGGCUAACUCCGUGCCAGCAGCCGCGGUAAUACGGAGGAUGCGAGCGUUAUCCGGAUUUAUUGGGCGUAAAGCGAGUGCAGGCGGCUCAAUAAGU